UACGUAGGGGGCGAGCGUUGUCCGGAAUCAUUGGGCGUAAAGAGCGUGUAGGCGGCCCGGUAAGUCCGCUGUGAAAGUCGGGGGCUCAACCCUCGAAUGCCGGUGGAAACUGUCGGGCUCGAGUGCGGAAGAGGCGAGUGGAAUUCCUGGUGUAGCGGUGAAAUGCGCAGAUAUCAGGAGGAACACCGAUUGCGAAGGCAGCUCGCUGGGACGUGACUGACGCUGAGACGCGAAAGCGUGGGGAGCAAACAGG
rnacentral:rRNA from 1 species